rnacentral:rRNA from 1 species
UACAGAGGGUGCAAACGUUGUUCGGAAUUACUGGGCGUAAAGCGUGCGCAGGCGGUUUUGUAAGCCAGAUGUGAAAGCCCCGGGCUCAACCUGGGAAUGGCAUUUGGGACUGCAAGGCUUGAGUGCGGCAGAGGAGACUGGAAUUCCUGGUGUAGCAGUGAAAUGCGUAGAUAUCAGGAGGAAUACCGAUGGCGAAGGCAGGUCUCUGGGCUGACACUGACGCUCAUGCACGAAAGCGUGGGGAGCAAACAGG